rnacentral:rRNA from 1 species
CCUUACCCACCUUUGACAUGUACGGAAUCCUUUAGAGAUAGAGGAGUGCUCGAAAGAGAGCCGUAACACAGGUGCUGCAUGGCUGUCGUCAGCUCGUGUCGUGAGAUGUUGGGUUAAGUCCCGCAACGAGCGCAACCCUUGCCAUUAGUUGCUACGAAAGGGCACUCUAAUGGGACUGCCGGUGACAAACCGGAGGAAGGUGGGGAUGACGUCAAGUCCUCAUGGCCCUUAUAGGUGGGGCUACACACGUCAUACAAUGGCCGGUACAAAGGGUCGCAAACCCGCGAGGGGGAGCCAAUCCAUCAAAGCCGGUCGUAGUCCGGAUCGCAGUCUGCAACUCGACUGCGUGAAGUCGGAAUCGCUAGUAAUCGUGGAUCAGCAUGUCACGGUGAAUACGUUCCCGGGUCUUGUACACACCGCCCGUCACACCAUGGGAGCGGGUCUCGCCAGAAGUAGGUAGCCUAACCGCAAGGGGGGCGAUUACCACGGCGGGGUUCGUGACUGGGGUGAAGUCGUAACAAGGUAGCCGUAUCGGAAGGUGCGGCUGGA